AUGGGUCUCUAUGGGUCCCUAUGGGUCCCUAUGGGUCCCUAUGGGUCCCUAUGGGUCUGUAUGUGUCCCUAUGGGUCUCUAUGGGUCCCUAUGUGUCUCUAUGGGUCUCUAUGGGUCCCUAUGGGGUCCCUAUGUGUCUCUAUGGGUCUCUAUGGGUCCCUAUGGGUCUCUAUGCGUCUCUAUGUGUCUCUAUGGGUCUCUAUGGGUCCCUAUGGGUCUCUAUGUGUCCCUAUGGGCCCCUAUGGGUCCCUAUGUGUCUCUAUGGGUCCCUAUGGGGUCCCUAUGGGUCUCUAUGGGCCUCUAUGGGUCCCUAUGUGUCCCUAUGGGUCUCUAUGGGUCCCUAUGGGGUCCCUAUGGGUCCCUAUGGGUCUCUAUGGGUCCCUAUGGGUCUCUAUGGCUCCCUAUGGGUCUCUAUGGGUCCCUAUGGUUCCCUAUGUGUCUCUAUGGGUCUCUAUGGGUCUCUAUGGGUCCCUGUGGGUCUCUAUGUGUCCCUAUGGGUCCCUAUGGGUCUCUAUGGGUCUCUAUGGGUCCCUAUGGGCCUCUAUGUGUCUCUAUGGGUCUCUAUGGGUCUCUAUGGGUCCCUAUGUGUCUCUAUGGGUCUCUAUGGGUCUCUAUGUGUCCCUAUGUGUCCCUAUGUGUCUCUAUGGGUCCCUAUGGGUCCCUAUGAGUCUCUAUGUGUCUCUAUGGGUCCCUAUGGGACUCUAUGGGUCCCUUUGGGGUCUCUAUGGGUCUCCAUGGGUCUCUAUGGGGUCCCUAUGGGUCCCUAUGUGUCUCUAUGGGUCCCUAUGUGUCCCUAUGGGUCCCUAUGGGUCUCUAUGGGUCCCUAUGUGUCUCUAUGGGUCCCUAUGUGUCUCUAUGGGUCCCUAUGGGUCCCUAUGGGUCCCUAUGUGUCUCUAUGAGUCUCUAAGGGUCUCUAUGGGUCUCUAUGGGUCUCUAUGGGUCCCUAUGUGUCUGUAUGCGUCCCUAUAUGUCUCUAUGGGUCCCUAUGUGUCUCUAUGGGUCCCUAUGUGUCCCUAUGUGUCCCUAUGUUUCUCUAUGGGGUCUCUCUAUGGGGUCCCAUAUGGGUUUUCCGCCCAAUGGAGCGCCGUGGAGGACCGGGUGCGGCGCUCUGUCCCUCCAUCUCUAUGA
rnacentral:lncRNA from 1 species